GCUCCAAUAGCGUAUAUUAAAGUUGUUGCGGUUAAAAAGCUCGUAGUUGGAUUUCUGCAUAGAAGAAGCGGUCCACCUUUGGGUGAGUUACUGCUACCUUUUGUGCAUCUUUCUGAGAAGGCGUUCUUCUCUUCAUUGAGAGGCCGCAUGACUCAGAACGUUUACUUUGAGGAAAUGAGAGUGUUUCAAGCAGGCAAAUG
rnacentral:rRNA from 1 species